GGUAGUGCCGGAGACCCGGUGCUCGGAGGCUGCCCGGAGCCGCGAAGGGAAAUGCGCUUUGCCUCAGAUUUGAAGGAAAUCCGAGUGGCUCUUGUGUGAAAUCACGCAGAGCUCCUUUGUUCCGCGUGCUCUCUUGCUCGACUGCUGUGGGAGGUGGGAUCCUGCUGACGUCUCCUUGGCCCGUAGAGUGGGGCGAGGAAGCCCGAGUGUCCGCGCCUGGAGCGGUGACUCAUCAGGGAUUAGCUCUGGUGCCGUGGGUUCCCGGCUCUUUGCCCGGUUCUGUGCUCUGGGAACGCAGGGUGACAGACAGCGAGCUGGGGACUAGGCUGUGGAACACGAUGAUGACGAGCCAAUCAGGGUAGAACUGCACGUGCUCCGGGUUCAUACUGGAGCUGGGAGCGAAACGGGAGCCGGGCGAGCUGGGAGAACGUGGGCUCCGGGGACCUGGGGAAGGGUGGCCGCAGCGAGCCUUCCAGGGAGAACGCCGGCCCCGCG
rnacentral:lncRNA from 1 species